rnacentral:rRNA from 1 species
GGACCUUACCCACCUUUGACAUGUACGGAAUUUGCCAGAGAUGGCUUAGUGCUCGAAAGAGAACCGUAACACAGGUGCUGCAUGGCUGUCGUCAGCUCGUGUCGUGAGAUGUUGGGUUAAGUCCCGCAACGAGCGCAACCCUUGUCAUUAGUUGCUACAUUCAGUUGGGCACUCUAAUGAGACUGCCGGUGACAAACCGGAGGAAGGUGGGGAUGACGUCAAGUCCUCAUGGCCCUUAUAGGUGGGGCUACACACGUCAUACAAUGGCCGGUACAAAGGGUCGCAAACCCGCGAGGGGGAGCCAAUCCAUCAAAGCCGGUCGUAGUCCGGAUCGCAGUCUGCAACUCGACUGCGUGAAGUCGGAAUCGCUAGUAAU